rnacentral:lncRNA from 1 species
AAAAGAGAGGAAAGGGAAGGAAAGGAAAAAUAUGGAAAAAAAAAGCAACAUGUGAAAAAAUUCAUAAAAGUUAAACAUUUUUAUAAUUUUAUUUCAAUUAUAUAUUUAUUUUUUGAAAUUAUUAAGCCAUUUUUUACUAUAUUCUUAUUUUAAUUUCAUGUUUUUUUCCCAAACUUUACAAAUACUACGUGGCAGGCAAUAAUACUAACAAAAAAAAAUACUAACCUAUGUACAGGUUGGACAUCCACUUUAUAAAUUUUACAAAAAUACUUUACAAAAUUUGACAAAAAUCUUCAAAACUCUUUUAUUUUUAAAUUCUC